rnacentral:rRNA from 1 species
CCUACGGGUGGCAGCAGUGAGGAAUAUUGGUCAAUGGACGCAAGUCUGAACCAGCCAAGUAGCGUGCAGGAUGACGGCCCUCCGGGUUGUAAACUGCUUUUAGUUGGGAAUAAAACGUUCCACGUGUGGGAUUUUGUAUGUACCAUAUGAAUAAGGAUCGGCUAACUCCGUGCCAGCAGCCGCGGUAAUACGGAGGAUCCGAGCGUUAUCCGGAUUUAUUGGGUUUAAAGGGAGCGUAGGUGGAUUGUUAAGUCAGUUGUGAAAGUUUGCGGCUCAACCGUAAAAUUGCAGUUGAAACUGGCAGUCUUGAGUACAGUAGAGGUAGGCGGAAUUCGUGGUGUAGCGGUGAAAUGCUUAGAUAUCACGAAGAACUCCGAUUGCGAAGGCAGUUCACUGGACUGCAACUGACACUGAGGCUCGAAAGUGUGGGUAUCAAACAGGAUUAGAUACCCUUGUAGUC